rnacentral:lncRNA from 1 species
UUUCUCGUGGUGUCUUGUGGGAGUGGCGGUGCGAUCCCUCUCAGACUUGUGAGUCCCUGCUGGAGUCAGAAGUUUUAGGCGAAUCCCAGGCGCGCCAAGGAAAGUGCUACAAAAGCCAUCCAUCUUGCAAGCGUUGGUGCCGAGGCGCAACGCUGAGAACGCAAAUACUAAAGGGCGCUGUUCUUUCCUCGUGGAGCUCACAGUCCGCUGGGGAGACCGUGAGAUGACAGCAGAGAAACUAGCGCGAUCAGUAGUACUCAGCGCAAGGACAGCGAGCAGAGAAGGCAAACCUAGUGCUUGCUAAGGAAGACUUCACAGAGGAGUCACACCUUAAAAAAAAAAGGAGGGGUUAUUCCUGCUUUUGCCGUGCUGUGAUCCAGGGCAGAGCUCCAGGCUUCAUACGGUAAAACUCUCUGGGAAGGAAAGGAACUCAGAGUCCCAUGCAGAAAAUUGUUCAGCUGGAGGGGUAUCAGAAAGAUGGAUUUCCAAAGCCAACUGUUUCCUGUAGUGUGUGGAUCUCUGCAAGCAGAGCCUCAUCUUUCAAUUUCAGCUACAUGAAAGAGGAAGAAAGGGAAAGAUAUAUGUCAUACGUGAUAUACUUUAUGUGGCUUUGAAGACCCCUCUUUUGUGGGGCUACGGCUAAAGAACAUAGUUCCCUGGGAUGGAAUUGGCUCUUCCUAUUUCCCUACUUCAUGAAAACUCCAGUAGAAGACCUUAGAACCUUGUCCUGGUUACAUGGAUAUGUUUACUUUGUGAAAAUUCAUCAAGCACUAUGCACGGUCAUGAUUUGUACAUUUUUUUGUAAGAUAACUUCAUUAAAAUUUACUUUUUUUAUUUUUAAAAA